CUCUCUCCCAGUAUGCCCGGCGUCAGAAACGUCUUCAGAAGAUCCUGAAGUAUAUAUUCACCUGGCCAGCUGGGCCAAUGGAUUUGCUAAGACUACAUAUAACUUUUAUUUGGAGGUGAUUUCUAUGAUUAUGGCAGCAGGAGAAUUUCCAUCUGAUGCACCAAAGGCAGAACUGAUGGAGGAGGCAUUGCUGGGGGUAAGAACUGGGAAGAUUACACCAAAAAUAUUGGUGGGGGUCAGAACCGGCCGGGAAGAUUACACGAAAGACGAUCCGGGAUGAAAUGGUUAAAGCUGUUCUUGAGGGUUUGAAUUGGGAGCUGAUUGAUAAACAACAAUUUGGAAGCAAAAGCCUCUCUUCUUCUGGGAUAGGUGAUAAAGAAACAGAAGUCCGACCCCUCAUACCUGCUUAAAGGUAAGGAAUGUCACAAAAUUCAGUAGAAAUUUUAGUACAUUUUGAUCAUAAUGUGGCUUCAAAUAUGUAGACAUCUAGACAUAAUGCUCUUCACUCUAUGCCAGCUGAGUGGGGCUGGCUUCAAGGGGUGAAAGAAAAAAACAUUUCCCGGAUUUGUUUUAAGCUCUAUUUUCAGACUCAAAAUCGUCACCGAUCAAAAGAAGGUUGCAAGGUUGAGGGCUGUUAUGCAACUUUUAUCUCUCGACCUGCAGUCCUUGUAUACUAAUCAUAAUAUUUAGGCGGUGCAUAUGCAACAUGCAUGGUGAAAAGAAAAAGGGAGGAUGCUAACAAAUGGAUAGUAUGUUAGCACAAUUAGAACUGCAAUUACCAGGUUAGCAGUAAUAUAUAAUAAUCACAUUUUGGUAUUUUUCUACUUUCAUGAGCUCGUGUGCUUCAAUUAGAAACUUAAGUCAAGAUUGUUAUGAAUCUGUUACUACAAUUAGAUUCAUAAAACUGAAGUGUUAAAUCAUGUUUUGGUUGUUAAAAUUUCUGUCCUCGACCAAAUCCAUUAUAUGAUUAAAGAAAAAUUCUUCUGGUAAAUGUCUAGUUCCGCCUUUAAAAUUCAGUCUCUUAAAUUUUGGUCAAGAAUUUCAAUGUUGCACUCCUUAAACUCUCCUUUCCUAAGCACAUCCGUAGAGUCCUCUUUAUUACUUAUGUUUACCCAAACAUACAUUUCAUCGACCAGUUGGUGCAUGCCGGCCCUGGCAGGCCCAAAUACGAUCGUCAAUUUGUGUGUUCAACUCGCGUGGCAGCUACACCCUCAGAGCUGUCAUAAAUCACUCUUUAACGCUAUGUUACGGAGAAGUUUAGCAGCUAUGAAUUCGGGUUGUGGUGUAAAUGAGAAAUAGACCUUUCAAAUUGCUUUUGUAUGGUACCCAAAUGAUCAAGAAUCUUUAUUUAGGUAAAUUUAAAGUAAAGAGAUGGAUCUACAGUUUUAAUUUUCUCCAAGAAAGAUGGGCGUUUCGCUUUCAUCGUUGCCAUUACCAUCUUCCUCUUCACUGUCUUCGUUUUCGCUCUGGUCAUCUUCAUCUUCACUGAAAUCAUCUAUAUAUUCAUCACUUUCUUCCGAGUCUGUAACACCAACCACCUUAUCUCCUAGGACAACCUCCCCUAAGUACCAUAAAACAGCACGGGGGAUCGAUGAUCUGAUUGCGAAUGGUUGACCUACACAAAAAUAAUGGCAAUGGCAGAAAAUAAAACAAGUUAACAAAAAGUUAUGAAUUACAAUAUCGUGUAGACCUCAAUCAUACUAGCCAGUUGUUGAUUGGCAACAUCAUCGUAAAAGAUGAUCAUACUGGGAACAUGGCCAUGGUCUACUUAGUAGUAAACAAAAUUAACACACCCAAUGUAAUAAUCUCGACUCAUGUUCCAUCUCCUGUUUAUAAGAUGAAGAAAAUUAAGAUAUACCAAUAAAUUAAACUUGUUGAAUACAAAAAGAUUUAUUGUAACUCUCACAGCAACUUCAUCAAUUUGAAGGAGAUCAAAAAAUUUGAAGAAACUUUCACGUUCUUUUGUUAAACAGUUUUCCGGAAACCAUUCGAUCUCUAUCCUGCAAUGCGCAACUGUGAGCCAAAUUAUAGUCAAGUAAUAAAUAUCAACAACCAUGUCUUAGGGUACGCAAGCCAAAUUA